CCAGGCGCUCGCGCAUGCGCACAUCGGCAGGCUGGAGCAGAUGUGGUGGAAGACUUGAAACUCGCCUGCGGUUUUGAUGGGAAGUCUCCCGGUGCCCCUCUGUCGUCGGCCUGAACCGAGAAGCCGGCAGCAGCUCCUGCCCUUUCGGCCAGACGUGCCUACAGAGCUGCUAUUGUUUCCCUCAGAGUCCUAACCUGGCUGCAGGAGCACCGCUGCUGACGUUGUGUUUGAUUUCCAGAACAUAUUCGGCUGCAACUCACUCCUCUUCAGCUUUUCAGCAGAUCCAGGGUUGUAGGAAAGUCAAAGGCCAUUUCCGCCAAACUCAGGCCUAACUGAAUCUCAAAGGAGAAAAACUGAAGGGCAACAACCAGGCAUUGAAUUUGAUUCAGAAAGAUCUCUUUGGUGGCUUUUACACCUUGAUGUACAAACACCUUUAAAAGAAGAUCGAUAUUCUUCAUGUAUCUGCUGGAGGAAGGGUCUCAGACAGCCUCCCCAGGUCACCUUGAGCCCUGAGAUGAUAAACGGCAGCAUCCCGUCCCAUCCUGGCCUGUGUUGUUCCUUCUCCACACCCGCUCCUGCUCCAUCCUACCUUCUGUACUUGCUGCCCUUUGCAACCACCUCCUCUUCCCUGAACUUGGGCCAAAGCUGACUUGGCUGAGACAACCACAGCAUUGCUGCCUAUUUACCUUGGAAUAAUACAAAAUAAAAGCUGUGCUGACACUCUUGAGUUUAUCGAG
rnacentral:lncRNA from 1 species